AACGAACGCUGGCGGCAUGCCUAACACAUGCAAGUCGAACGAGACCUUCGGGUCUAGUGGCGCACGGGUGCGUAACGCGUGGGAACCUGCCCUUAGGUUCGGAAUAACUCCCCGAAAUGGGUGCUAAUACCGGAUAAUGUCUUCGGACCAAAGAUUUAUCGCCUUUGGAUGGGCCCGCGUUGGAUUAGCUAGUUGGUAGGGUAAAAGCCUACCAAGGCGACGAUCCAUAGCUGGUCUGAGAGGAUGAUCAGCCACACUGGGACUGAGACACGGCCCAGACUCCUACGGGAGGCAGCAGUGGGGAAUAUAGGACAAUGGGCGAAAGCCUGAUCCAGCAAUGCCGCGUGAGUGAUGAAGGCCUUAGGGUUGUAAAGCUCGUUUACCCGGGAUGAUAAUGACAGUACCGGGAGAAUAAGCUCCGGCUAACUCCGUG
rnacentral:rRNA from 1 species